rnacentral:lncRNA from 1 species
GUGCUUCUUUCUGGCUCUCACGGAGUUCACCAAGGCAGUCUCUUGCACCCAUUGGCCAGCCACACUGGCAUCUAGAUCUGCUAUGUUAGAUGAUGUCUUCUAACCUUUCUUAAAGAACAUGACCGUUCAGGUCAUUCUACUCUCUUUCAUAGCUUGGAUCUAACAUGCUAUUACCAUUUCUUUCUGUCUGCUCAGAGCCCUGUCAUCGAAAGUCAAGCUUUGGGACACUCUGUUGCAUGCAAGGAGAGUGGAGCAGCAAAGGGUGGUGCAAGCCCAUGGACACAACUUUGAACUCCUCUCCAACUGCUGCAUAUUCCCCUUGACCUGGACAUGGAGCCUCUGAGGCAAGGCCA